rnacentral:rRNA from 1 species
GGCGAACGCUGGCGGCGUGCUUAACACAUGCAAGUCGAACGGAAAGGCCCUGCUUUUGUGGGGUGCUCGAGUGGCGAACGGGUGAGUAACACGUGAGUAACCUGCCCUUGACUUUGGGAUAACUUCAGGAAACUGGGGCUAAUACCGGAUAGGAGCUCCUGCUGCAUGGUGGGGGUUGGAAAGUUUCGGCGGUUGGGGAUGGACUGGCGGCUUAUCAGCUUGUUGGUGGGGUAGUGGCUUACCAAGGCUUUGACGGGUAGCCGGCCUGAGAGGGUGACCGGCCACAUUGGGACUGAGAUACGGCCCAGACGCCUACGGGAGGCAGCAGUGGGGAAUAUUGCACAAUGGGCGGAAGCCUGAUGCAGCAACGCCGCGUGCGGGAUGACGGCCUUCGGGUUGUAAACCGCUUUCGCCUGUGACGAAGCGUGAGUGACGGUAAUGGGUAAAGAAGCACCGGCUAACUACGUG